UCCCUCUUAGCUCAGUUGGUAGAGCGCGUCACUAGUACAGCUAUGACGAGGUCAGUCGUUCAAAUCGGCUAGCGGGAA